GCCUCGGCUUCGUGCCACUCCUUGUGAGUGGCGAGGAGGCAGGCCUAGUCGUCCCUUGUGGCCCCGCCCACACCGGUUGCUAAAGGGUAGAAACUGGCCAUUGUUUGUGCCAUUGCUAAGGGGAGGAGCCAUCUGUUACAAUGGUUGCUAAGGGAGGAAGGGAGUGCUUGGCAGUUGCCAAGGGGAAGAGCUGUCUAUUAGGACAGUAGCUAAGGGAGGAGGAGACUGAUUGGCCAUUGCUUAGCAGUUUGAUUUUACCUUUCUCAAGUGUGUCAGGUUUGUGGGAAUAGGCUUAAAACCCACAGCAGUUCGAAUGAUAUGUUGUGUCCAAAUUUCAUAGCAAUUGGUGGAUUAGUUUGGGAGACACCCUUUCUCAUAACAUGGAACUUGUAGACUGGUACUUGGGGAAAUAAACAUCCACAAUAGCUGAGGAUAUUUGCAGAGAACAGCUGGGAGAUGACCAUCUUUUGUUCUUGGUUGAUUCCUGAGAAUCAGUGGAUAUUUCAUCAAUGGGCAUAUAGAAGAUAUUUUGAGAUGGCCCAUUACGUUUCGAAGCUGCUCCCUGUGGGACCAUACUUUUUAAUGAACUUGGAACUUAGAACUUUGUAUUUGUUUCAGUGGAACAUGGCUUGGACUUUCCAAACAUUCAUUCAGAGGAUCUUGAAAGGAAGAGGAAAAGCUUAUCGGCAGGUUUCUGAAGAGUUGUCAUUUUCAAACUUGGGCAGUUACAACUUCCAUUUUCACCAGACAGCCUGGCCACCCGGUUGCGAAAGGCUGCUUUGUACUGUUAUGUAGACAAGAGAAGGAGGAGGAAAGUUGUAUCUCGUUCAAUUCUACCUAGGUGGCAAGAAAUCUGUUAUGUAUUUCAUGCUCAAUAAAAGAAAAGAGGGGAAAAAAAGAGCAAACCUCACAAGAUUUCUAUGUAUUACAUGAGGACCGCCAUCUGUCCUCUAUUUAAUUAGGGCUGCACUAGUU